UAUGUGAUCGUCUCUCGCAUAUCAAUAAGCGGAGGAAAAGAAACUAACAAGGAUUCCCCUAGUAACGGCGAGUGAAGCGGGAAGAGCUCAAAUUUGAAAUCUUAAAGGGUUUCCCUUUACGAAUUGUAGUUUAAAGAAGUGUUUUCUGUUGAGGUUUUGGUAAAAGUUCUUUGGAAUAGGACAUCAUAGAGGGUGAGAAUCCCGUAUUUGACCUUUACUUUCAACUUUGUGAUACACUUUCAAAGAGUCGGAUUGUUUGGGAAUGCAGUCCAAAAUGGGUGGUAAAUUUCAUCUAAAGCUAAAUAUUGGCGAGAGACCGAUUAGCGAACAAGUACCGUGAGGGAAAGAUGAAAAGAACUUUGAAAAGAGAGUUAAACAGUACGUGAAAUUGUCAAAAGGGAAGCGUUUGACACCAGUGUUGUUUUUCUGAAAAUCAAUUAAAGAACUGUUUAUGCUAAGCUGUUUAGACUUUAUCAGCUAUCUGUUUAGUUUUGAGCUUUUCUUUAAUGCACUUUUCAGUUAACAAGUCAACAUCAAUUUCUUUUGCUGUAAAAAAGCUUGAGGAAGGUGGCUUGAGAUUCGUCUUAAGUGUUUAUAGCCUCUUGCCUAUGCAGUCGGAGAGAUUGAGGUCUGCAGCGUAGAUCCUUCGGGGCUAAAUGCAUUUGUGCUAAGUUAUAGCAUUUUAUAGACAACUUGUUGACUAUGAUUUGUCUUGUAGCUUACUCGCUUAUGUUAUUUUACCUACGCUUAGGAUGUUGAGCGCAUGUCUCUCUCU
rnacentral:rRNA from 1 species